rnacentral:rRNA from 1 species
GCCGGCGACCGGCGCAAGGUGCGUAACGCGUGAGCAACAUGCCCGUAUCAGGGGGAUAAUCCAUGGAAACGUGGUCUAAUACCCCAUAGUAAUUAUGUAAGGCAUCUUAUAUAAUUUAAAGCUUUGGUGGAUACGGAUUGGCUCGCGUGACAUUAGCUAGAUGGUAAGGUAACGGCUUACCAUGGCUACGAUGUCUAGGGGUUCUGAGAGGAAGGCCCCCCACACUGGAACUGAGACACGGUCCAGACUCCUACGGGAGGCAGCAGUGAGGAAUAUUGGACAAUGGAUGGAAAUCUGAUCCAGCCAUGCCGCGUGCAGGAAAGACGGCCCUAUGGGUUGUAAACUGCUUUUGUAUGGGAGCAAUAAGGGCUACGCGUAGUCCGAUGAGAGUACCAUACGAAUAAGCACCGGCUAACUCCGUGCCAGCAGCCGC